GUGAGUAAAUGUUUCUGCAUGUUUCCUUUUGGCUUGGAGAUUUGAAGAAAAAUGGUUUUAUUUGCUCAGAUAUUUCAAGUUUUCCUGGUCUUGGUUUGGAGGAGCUCUCUGUCCAGAAUACGUUAGUUCUGGUUUAAGGGUACGCUGCAAAGGAGGGGGAGCAAAAUGGAGUGAAGCUUUAGCUCCAAGGUCAGAGUCAACCUGGGCAGGAGAGCAGAAGUGCUGCCGACCAACCCCUACUCGUCCCCCGGGAACCUCACACCUGAGCAGGGCAGUCUGCUGGUUAGCGCAAUGCGUUAGACUUCAGAUUUUAGAUUAGUCUAGAGAGGCAGGUUAGGUGCUAUAUCCAAGAGCAGGAGGCCAUCUGCAGUUUCUCACCUUUUAACUGUGUGACCAGCCAGUGGAACAGCCACCUGUACCAGCCUGCCGGGCCCCACCUGGUGGGAGAGAAACAGGAGACCGAUUUACCUGGCCAAGUGUGCCAGGCUUGUCGUUCUGUUCAGAUGCCCACAGGGGGCUUGCGUAGCCGGUGAGGUUUCAUGUACAAACCCAUCCGGAAUCCACAAGGUGGGGAACUCCAUUCCUCGGCCAUGUGCUCACCCUCUAAAGGACCCCGUCUGCUUCCCUUACUCAAGGCACUUCCUCGCCCCGAGAGGGCUCACACAGGCCAGCCAAGGCUGCUCACUGUUGUCCUGAAAUGUCCAUCCACCCAUCACUGGGACCUGCCUUUGUCCUCAGAAGGCCCCAGCAUGAUGCGAAUCAUUUCUUAGGAUGGGCAUCCCAGGUGCUCUGUGAAACGGCGGGAGUGCAAGCGGAAAAACAAGAUCGUGUCGGGUGGGUCCUGAGGCCCAGGUACUGGAGGAGACACAUCUCCCUGUGUCCGGCCACUGAAUGUCCCAGGUCUGGACACCCCUGAAGUGCUCUGUGACCUCCAACAGGCACACAGCAUCUUACAGGAACUCGCGUUUUCAGGAAGAUGGUUUCAGCAGCGCUGCAGUGACUGAUGCGAGCCCAGCAGAGAGCAUUGGUUUAUCAGACUUGCUGUGAAUGGAGCGGUGAGCAUACAUUGAGAGGAGGGGAAAAUGUGAUCUAAAACACAAGGCAGUAGAUUUCAAAGGAUAGUCUGCAGCCUUGUCACUCGGAGUGUGGUCCCCAGACCAGCAGCAUCGACACCCCUAAGGAGCUUGUUAAAAAUGCAGAGCCUCAGAGCACACCCCACGCCUACCUUACGUGCGGGCACCUGCAUCUUGACCGACUCCCCCUUCGCUCCACCUCUGUCCUCGGGGCAUCUGCUUCAGAAUCCUAGGGAGGCUCCUGAACGAUGCAGAGUCCUGGGUUCUGCCUGAGGCCUGCUGACGUGGAGCUUGGAGAAUGGGGCCUGGGACCUGGCCUUGUAACAAUGUCUUGGGGUGACGUUCACGCACACUAGCGUUUGAGAACCACUGGCCUGUCCCACAGGCAACAAGCAGCUCCUGGGAGCCUCCUAAAAAUGCUACUUCCUGGGCCGCCCCUGGAUCUACUGAGUCUGGGCGUCUAGGGGCCGAGCCUGGGAAUCAGCACGAGGAUGAUGGUGAAACGGACACAGCUGCCCUGAGGCGGGACUCCAGCCAGCUCUGCUCUGCCCAGCAUCCUGGGGCUAUGCCCACUGGGAGGAGGAGCUGUGAUCUCCGCCCCUGGAUCAAGAGCCCUAGAGAAAAGUGUGCUUUUGUUUCUAGGAGAGAUUAAGAAAAUGCAUUUGGGAGGGUAGCCUAUGAGUGGCUGUUUGCUCUCGACACCUGUAAACUGUUGACUGUAAUUGGACCACAGAUGUUCCCUGAGCCUGAUAGCUUUCUCUCCUCCGGCCGUGGAGGGGAGUCUGGGGAGGGGUUCUUCUCUAGAAGGAAAUCGAAUGAUUGUAUUGGGGCUGCAUUUCCUUGCCUUCCUCUGAUUUAAUCUGUUUUUCUACAUUUAUCAUUAUUAUUUUCGACACUUCAGUGUUAGACAAAAAGCUGUUUUGUAAAAAACCAGGGGGAUGUUAGCAAAAGGUGUGUUCAUAGAAUCAAACAGAAUCUUUGUGGGCAAAUGAAGGUAUUCAAAGUCCUGCAGAAAUGCAUGAAAUCCUCUUGAGCCCCCCAGCUCAAGGAGACCUCCCAGCGUGGAACAGAGAAGAGCAAUCUCACAGGAGAAAGCAGGAGAGAGCUACCCAUCGGAGCCCCGUCAUCUCUCACCUGGAUCCCUGCGCAGCCUCACUCCUCUCCCUGCAAACCUGGCCCCACGGGGACCACUGAAACUUGCAUCAGAGAACAUCACGUGAUGCCCUGCUUCAAGCCCUCAGGCUGGACCCUCUCGGAACCUCGAUGCUCUCUCUAUGGCCCACAGGUCCUGUGCCAUCUGGCCCCUCCGCCCCCUCCCCCUCGCUCUGCCCUUGCUAUCUGGAGCAUUCUGCCCCAGGUCUAGGCAAGGCCGACUGCUGCUCAGAGAUGCCCUGCAGGGCCCCCAGCAAGGCUGCUCGCCCACCUCUCCUCAGCCAGGACCUUUCACACCUAUCACAUCCCUCUGGUUCUGUCUGUCUGAUGUCUGCAGUACAACAGGGGCCUCUCUGCCCGGCCCCCUGCCCUCUCCCCAGCUCCCGGAUGGUGCCGGCCCAGGCUCAGCAAACAUCUGAAUAAAUGAAUGUCUGAGUGGAUGACUGGGAAAGCUGGGAGAGAAGGUGCAGUCUCCUGGGACUUAACCUUGGGGGAGUGGGGAGGGGUCGGUGAUGCCACGCUGCCUGAACUCCUGCCCCACGCCUGGGAAGAAGGAAUACCGGUGGUUUUUCUUCUUUCUUCUGUGAACUCUGGGGCAGAAUGAGAGCCAGGGCCGGGGGGAGGGUGGUUCAGCUGAAUGUGGCAACGACAAGGGGUUAGGAAGACAUCAGGGGGGAGUGGAAGGAGGAUGAUAAAAUGCAUGUUGGGGAAGAGGAACCGAUUAAACAGUCAACUAGAUAAUAUUAGAUUUAGAGGGAGGGAGAAAAUGGAGAUGUUGGAAAUAUGAGUAGACUGAGUGGCAAUAAAACAGGAGAGAGACCAAGAAAAUGGGGAAAAAGUAGAAAUGGACUUUCUGAGUUAAAGCAUCCGCCUGGGACUGGAGACUGCGCAGCCAGGACGCCCCUUUGGCUCAGCCGCUCAGGCAUCCCGGAGGAAUCGGGUUUCACCCGUAGGCUCACUGGUUGGAUGCUUUCAAAUUCCAUUUAACCCGGUUUGAUCAUCGAAUUUUGGGGGAUUGCUGCCGGUCACCUCCAGAGCACAAGCCCCUGCCGGCUGGACUCCUUGGGGGUGGGGCAGGGUUCCCCGCCCAGCCCCAGUCUGCUCAAGUGCAGCCAAGACAAGUGUCCUGUCCUCAAGAAGCAAGCCCUCCGUUCACCUUCACGAGCUGGGGCCCCACUUUGCUUUCUGGGUCUGUGGUUGAAGCUUCACGGAGAAGAAGCUGCAGAGGCAGACGGACGAAGCCGCCUGCUCAAGGACACGACCCCCCUGGGAGCCGCUUCUUUGGGAGAAGGCAGGGCCCUCACACUUCAGUUGAGCAACAGGGUCACCUGACAAGCAUUUUAAAAACAUGAGUGCUUGGACCUCAGACCAGCCCCGUAGGGUCACGUCCAGCAACUCUGUUCUUGACGUUCCCCAGAUGAAGUUAAAUGCACACCGGUGGUUGGGCAUUAAACCCCUUCUGAGUGUUUCUAUCUCAAUGCCUUAGUGUGACUUAAUUUUUGAUCUUUUUCUAGUAAAGGGGCUUCCAUGGGUUGGGAAAGUGAACACUUGAUUGAUGGAAGGAAAGGUGGCAGGGGCUCCAGAGGUGACUGAUU
ensembl:lncRNA